GCCUCUGUAGCUCAGUUGGUUAGAGCGCUGCACCGGAAUCGCAGCGCCGCAGGUUCGAUUCCUGCCAGAGGGC
rnacentral:tRNA from 1 species